UACAGGGGGUGCAACCGUUGCUCGGAAUUAUUGGGCGUAAAGCGCGCGUAGGCGGCUACCUAAGUCGGAUGUGAAAGCCCCUGGCUUAACUGGGGAAGUGCACCCGAAACUGAGUAGCUAGAGUGCGAAAGAGGGUCGCGGAAUUCCCGGUGUAGAGGUGAAAUUCGUAGAUAUCGGGAGGAACACCGGUGGCGAAGGCGGCGACCUGGGUCGACACUGACGCUGAGGCGCGAAAGCGUGGGGAGCAAACAGG
rnacentral:rRNA from 1 species